GAUGAACGCUGGCGGCGUGCCUUAUACAUGCAAGUCGAGCGAAUGGAUUAAGAGCUUGCUCUUAUGAAGUUAGCGGCGGACGGGUGAGUAACACGUGGGUAACCUGCCCAUAAGACUGGGAUAACUCCGGGAAACCGGGGCUAAUACCGGAUAACAUUUUGAACCGCAUGGUUCGAAAUUGAAAGGCGGCUUCGGCUGUCACUUAUGGAUGGACCCGCGUCGCAUUAGCUAGUUGGUGAGGUAACGGCUCACCAAGGCAACGAUGCGUAGCCGACCUGGGAGGGUGAUCGGCCACACUGGGACCGAGACACGGCCCAGACUCCUACGGGAGGCAGCAGUAGGGAAUCUUCCGCAAUGGACGAAAGUCUGACGGAGCAACGCCGCGUGAGUGAUGAAGGCUUUCGGGUCGUAAAACUCUGUUGUUAGGGAAGAACAAGUGCUAGUUGAAUAAGCUGGCACCUUGACGGUACCUAACCAGAAAGCCACGGCUAACUACGUGCCAGCAGCCGCGGUAA
rnacentral:rRNA from 1 species